UUUCCUCUGCGAACGCGCUGAGCAGCGAUUGAAAACGUUUUGGUCCUCUGCAGGUUUGAACAGGGCUAGCAGGUCUCUCUCCGGAUUUCUAGGGCUAUGGCUCCCGAAAUCGUUUCUCUGGACGCGGCAGUAUCCGCAGCGCAUGCACCCUCCUCUGGACUUCCGCAGCCCAGACCUGCGCUUACAGUCAUCGCGCCACCCCCUCCCCCCGGGCUGCGGGCCCCGCGCUCCGUGGGCUCAGGGUCCCCUCCGCGUCCCCCUGAAGCCUGGGGACGGAGGUCGCGACCGGCCGACUGGGGUCCUGUCCUCUUGUCACCUUGUAUCCCUCGCAUGCUCCCUCCCGCCUCGUGUCCCUCUCCCCACCCUCCCCCUCCUCUCUCCCGCCUCCCUAACACUGCGCUUUGAUUCUGUUUUUCAGGGGCGCAUUCUGGGGUCUCUGCGCAAGACCAGCUCUCAGCUCUCUCUCCUUUCCUCGGACUCUGGAGCGGGAGCGGGCCUUUCCCUCGGGUCGACCACGCCGUAGGGGACGCCGUGAAAAGAGCCGUCGCGCCCGCUGCCUCCUGCCCGCUGCGCAGAGGGCUCCGCCCGUAGAGGUCUGAAAUUAAAGCUUCUCGGAAUAAUUUAGGAACAGCUUGACCCGUUGAGAUACUCAAGGACAACCCUCCAGGGAAAUAGUAUGUUUCCUUCCUGGGAACAAGAUGCUAGCGCGGUGCACCGGGAGGUAUCUGGUGUCAACAAUGCCAGAGCGCCCUCUGCUGCCUCAAAGAGGCAGGACACCAGUUACAAAAGCCAGAUGGCACAGUGGCAAUAAGCGGAGGAAACAUUAAGCUCUUAGAAACGUUUAAUCUGUGAAAUUUAAAAGCUCUCAUCAUAUUCUACUUUUGAAAGGGCCACCUGAUUUUGAUUUUGAGCACUCCUUGGAUGUUAUCUUCUAUUCUGGAGGAUAAUGAAAAGUCCGUGUUUUGAAGUUUUCAGAUUAUUUCUGUAGUUAUAUUUCUCCACUCUUUCUCGAAUUUUAUAUGGAAAUACGAAAUUGCAAAUCUAAGUGAAAAACCUUUGUGUAAAACAGGUGAGUGGAGAAGACGUCCUGGUUUCUCCAAAUAACUAAGAUCUAAUAAAGAAACAAAUCUUAAUUAAAAUAAAGAUACCGAGCACAUGUUGUUGUGUUAGUUUAAAACGAUAAUAAAAAGAAAGAAAUUAA
rnacentral:lncRNA from 1 species